rnacentral:lncRNA from 1 species
AUUCCAAUGCUACUGAAGAUCGCUGUGGUGUGUGCCUUGGAGACGGCUCUGCCUGCCAGACAGUGAAGAAACUGUUUAGACAGAAGGAAGGAUCCGGUGUGCCUCCUACCAUGGCAACCAUUUAACAGAAGACUGCAGCUAGAGUUGAUCAAUACUUUAAAAGAG